rnacentral:pre_miRNA from 1 species
UUUCUACUCCCUCCGUCUGAAAAUACUUGUCAUCAAAAUGGAUAAAAAUAGAUGUAUCUAAAACUAAAAUACGUCUAGAUACAUUUCCUUUUAUCCAUUUUGAUGACAAGUAUUUCCGGACGGAGGGAGUAUUUA